UACGAAGGGGGCUAGCGUUGUUCGGAAUCACUGGGCGUAAAGCGCACGUAGGCGGAUCUUUAAGUCAGGGGUGAAAUCCCGAGGCUCAACCUCGGAACUGCCUUUGAUACUGGGGAUCUCGAGUCCGGGAGAGGUGAGUGGAACUGCGAGUGUAGAGGUGAAAUUCGUAGAUAUUCGCAAGAACACCAGUGGCGAAGGCGGCUCACUGGCCGUGUCACGCUGAGGUGCGAAAGCGUGGGGAGCAAACAGGG
rnacentral:rRNA from 1 species